UGCCAGCCGCCGCGGUAACACGUAGGGGGCAAGCGUUGUCCGGAAUCACUGGGCGUAAAGGGCGCGUAGGCGGUUUAUUAAGUUGCAUGUGAAAUCCCAGGGCUCAACCCUGGACCUGCAUGCAAAACUGGUAGACUUGAGUGUGGUAGAGGUAAGUGGAAUUCCUAGUGUAGCGGUGGAAUGCGUAGAGAUUAGGAGGAACACCAGUGGCGAAGGCGACUUACUGGGCCAUAACUGACGCUGAGGCGCGAAAGCGUGGGGAGCAAACAGGAUUAGAUA
rnacentral:rRNA from 1 species